rnacentral:rRNA from 1 species
AGUGAACGCUGGCGGCGUGCUUAACACAUGCAAGUCGAACGAGAACGGGUUAUAGCUUGCUAUAAUUGUCAGCUAAGUGGCGCACGGGUGAGUAAUGUAUAGGUAAUAUGCCUCUUACUAAGGGAUAACAAAUGGAAACGUUUGCUAAUACCUUAUACUCCUUAUUAACAUAAGUUAAUAAGGGAAAGAUUUAUUGGUAAGAGAUUAGCCUGUAUUGUAUCAGUUAGUUGGUGGGGUAAUGGCUUACCAAGACUAUGACACAUAACUGGUUUGAGAGGAUGAUCAGUCACACUGGAACGAAGACACGGUCCAGACUCCUACGGGAGGCAGCAGAGGGGAAUAUUGCACAAUGGACGAAAGGCUGAUGCAGCAAGGCCGCGUGGAGGAUGACACAUUUCGGUGCGUAAACUCCUUUUAUAUGAGAAGAUAAUGACGGUAUUAUAUGAAUAAGCACCGGCUAACUCCGUGCCAGCCGCCGCCGUAAAAC